CUGUGGAAUCCCAUGGAAUUUCUCCCACCAGUGCACAAAUUCCUUUGAAAAAGGGGAUGUAGCUAUUGCAGCAGUCGUUAAAAAUGUAUGUACAGCAUUCACAUUAGGCACACUCCAUCUGGAAUUGCAAACUCUGCUUGCACUGGGCAGUGCAGUACUUGCACGUGCAGCUGUAAAUUCAGCCUGAGCCAGUGGCUGAGUUCCAGAACUCCCGGGCCCCUCUCUGUCUCUCAGAUGUGCUGAGUGAUCCCUGGGAAGCUGCUGCUCAUGCCAAGGAACAGCAGCUUCCACCAGUGAGUCAGCGAGUCCAUGGGAGCAGCAGGAAUUCUAUCCCUGCCUGUCCCCUGGGUGUGCUCCUGGAUCCCUGCUCAGUGUGUCCGUGGAGCUGAUGGAGAGCUGUACAGAACAGGACAAUUUAAAUCAAGCAAUCCCUCCCCUUUCUUGGCUUGGAGUUGGCUGUGUCAGUCUUCAGUUUUCAAGGGGGGAAGAAACCCAGCCUGUGGAUUUUGUGCCUUUCUGAACCUUUCUUUGUGUGGUGAUUUCACAUCAGAGCAGAUCCUGCUUCUGCAGAGGGGUGGGAGCAGGAACUGCUGCUGCUGCACAGGAAAUUUGAGUGGGUACCCAGUGAUACACAGCCCUGUGCUGGGCUGGAGUGAGUCUUUUCACAAAUUCCUUGGCAGGGUGCUGCAGUUUGGGGGGUAAAUGAUGUGUGGGGUUAUAAUAUUCUAUUUGAUAUUUAGGCCAGGCUGGAUGGGCUUUGGAGAAACCUGGUCUAGUGGAAGAUGUCCCUGCCCAUGGCAGAGGUUGGAAUUAGAUGCUCUUUGAAGUUCCUUCCAGCCCAAACCAUUCUAUGAUUGAUUUAUUCUAUAAUUUUCCUCUUUGCUGUUCCCUUCCCUUAUUAAGGGAGAUCAAUAUAAACAGUGAAUUUCAGUAAUAAUUCAGAGUUUUGUGGUGGUUCUAUUUUUCUGCCCUGCCCCUGUGCAGCUUCAAGCACUUGGCACAUCAGUGCUGGCCCUCAGGAGGUGCCCUUGGUGACAAAUGAAUGCCCAGAAC